rnacentral:misc_RNA from 1 species
CCUAGGUCCAGGAAUGAUGAUAGCUGUGGAUUUGCCUGGUGGUCAGGUUUAUGAGAAUACUGAAGUUAAAAAGCGAGUAGCUUUAUCACAUCCAUAUGGGAAAUGGGUCGGUGAGAACCUACGAUCGUUAAAGCCUGAAAACUUCCUCUCCGCAACAAUAAUGGACAAUGAAGCAAUUUUACGACGCCAGCAGGCUUUUGGCUACUCCAGUGAGGAUGUCCAAAUGGUUAUUGAAACUAUGGCUGCACAGGGGAAGGAGCCUACAUUUUGCAUGGGAGAUGAUAUUCCAUUGGCAAUAUUGUCCCAAAGGCCGCAUAUGCUCUAUGAUUAUUUCAAGCAACGAUUUGCACAGGUCACAAAUCCAGCUAUUGAUCCUCUAAGGGAAGGUUUAGUCAUGUCCCUUGAAGUCAAUAUUGGUAAGCGAGGAAACAU